UACGGAGGGUGCGAGCGUUGUCCGGAAUCACUGGGCGUAAAGGGCGCGUAGGCGGUCCGGUAAGCGUGUGGUGAAAAGCCCGGGGCUCAACCCCGGGUCGGCCGUGCGAACUGCGGGACUGGAGCACUGUAGAGGCAGGCGGAAUUCCGGGUGUAGCGGUGGAAUGCGUAGAGAUCCGGAAGAACACCGGUGGCGAAGGCGGCCUGCUGGGCAGUAGCUGACGCUGAGGCGCGACAGCGUGGGGGAGCAAACAGG
rnacentral:rRNA from 1 species